rnacentral:lncRNA from 1 species
CCCUGCAGGGUUAAAUAUUUCGGAAAGCCGUGCCCGCGGUUAUGUGGCAACGUGGAAACUUUAUUUAACACUGGUUCUAGAUAACUUGAAGUUAACUUAAUUAAAAUAUGCCAACUGUGUGCGUAACCGUGACUGUCUCUUUCGUGAGUUCCUUCUCCGAUCGAGGACACGGUGGGGUUAUGUCUGACGUAGGUUGGUGUUCAGGAUCAUUCUUUUGAUCAUCAGUAGUUCACGUCCGUUAUGCGUAGAUCAUCCCCCUCUUGUUUCUUGUACCCGUAAGUUUAGCCACCAAAUAUAUGCUUAGUCACUGCUGCAACCUCACCACUUAACCUGAUCUCACCCAUUAAGCUUUGCUAAUCUUGAUACCUUUGGAAAUGAGAUUGCUGAGUCCCCUGUGGCUCACAGAUUACUACAACACCAGUUGCAGGUACAUGUAAAGGUAACUUGACGCGAGCGCGUUGAUUAUUCAUUUGGAGUUGCUUCUUCUUCUUCUUCAUCAUCAAUCUAGGAUGGGUUCCAGGCCGGCAGCCUCGGAUAGCAAGGAUGGACGUCGUUCUUAUUUUCUCGUUUGUUUUCGUCUGUAGUCGGACCUUGCUCUUACUCUUGAUGUUGAUGUAUUGUACUGAUG